rnacentral:lncRNA from 1 species
GUGUGUGUUGAAACCAGCGAAAGAUUAGUCCAUAUAUGGGUGUGGAAUCUGGCCAGGGAAGAGGCAGCUUGGUCCAGCCCCCUGUGGGAGGCCAGUGGCAGGGCACUUGGAAGGUUGCAGAGGCUACAAACAGGCAAGCUGCUUGGGAGUCUGUGGCCUUGGCAGACUAGCUCCCCUUCAUCACAGAGCCGCAGGGAGGGGACAGAUGCGCCAGCAGACGUGCUUGAGCAGAGCCUGCCCAGGGUGAGUACAGGGUGGCCAUGCAGGCGACUCGGGCCAGGAUCGCCCUGGCCCUGUGACAUGAAGGCCAUGGGACCACGUCUCGUCCCAGGCUUGCUGGAGGCUACAGGACCUGGGAGGGGCUCCAACAGGGGACAGCAGAGGCGGUGCACCCUGACCCCCCGGAGCCCCGUCUCAGUUGGUCCCCUCCAUCCUGGGCCAGCUCCCAGAGGAGGGGCCGUGAAGCCCUGGGGGAAAGACCUUCCGCUGUGUGUGUGUGUGUGUGUGUGUGUGUGUGUGUGCGCGCAUGCACACGUACUCAUGUGUUGUGUGCGCCUCUCCCGUGCCUGUCACACAUGAAGCAGGGCCCAGGAGGGGUGGGUGCUGAGGAGGGCGAGUGGGUGGCCACCACCUUCUCCUUCACGUCCUUCUGGGUUGUUCUUCCCGCAGAGAAUCCCGACACAGCGUUUGAGCAAGAAAGAGAGCGGCAAAGCGAGGAGAGAGGUGAGCAAAAGCCCUAAAGGGGCAUUUUAGACAAGAGGCCACGCGAAUCUUCGCAUGGCCAGGAAAGACAAAAGGAGCUCAACACCACGGGUCAUGCGGGAAAUGCAAAUAAAACCACAGCGAGAUACCA